rnacentral:rRNA from 1 species
UACGUAGGGGGCAAGCGUUGUCCGGAAUCAUUGGGCGUAAAGAGCGUGUAGGCGGCGCGGUAAGUCCGCUCUGAAAGCCCGGGGCUCAACCCCGGGAGGAGGGCGGAUACUGUCGGGCUAGAGUCCGGAAGAGGCGAGUGGAAUUCCUGGUGUAGCGGUGAAAUGCGCAGAUAUCAGGAGGAACACCAAUGGCGAAGGCAGCUCGCUGGGACGGUACUGACGCUGAGACGCGAAAGCGUGGGGAGCAAACAGG